rnacentral:lncRNA from 1 species
AAUUUUUCUCGAUAUAUAAAUAUAUUUAUAUUUGCUUGUAAUAUUUAAUUUUAUCAUCAUCAUCCUAUACAAUUCUCAGUUUGUAUAAAAAAAAAUAAUCAUCUUGUGGUACUUAGGAGAGCGAAGGAAGUUAGCAGUACUGUGUUUACCAAGUACUGUAUUGCUGCUCGCGCAAGCACCCACGUUAUUGCGUCAGAUUGAAUCAACGACCCGUUGUUAACGGCUUUUACAGCGAGAGAAAUUAUCACUGUCUCGAGAAAAGAUCGACACAUCUUAAAUGGAGAGUUCGGUCGAACCGGAACAAAAGGGGACCGUUAUAUCGCACCGGGGGACGAAGUUUAGGAGUUCCUGGAAUCGACAGUUCGGAAGACGCGGGUGGACAGAGGGCCAGAGAGUUUCGUCUUUCGUCGUCGAGCGUGGGAGACUAGGGAGUAGAACACUCCCAGGAGCGAGUGAAAGUCAUCGUCUGGUCAUGUACCUGAAGCGAUUUUUUUGUAUAUCUUUCGUCUUGAAUAAAGUUAU